rnacentral:rRNA from 1 species
GAUGAACGCUGGCGGCGUGCCUAAUACAUGCAAGUCGAGCGAACAGACGAGGAGCUUGCUCCUCUGACGUUAGCGGCGGACGGGUGAGUAACACGUGGAUAACCUACCUAUAAGACUGGGAUAACUUCGGGAAACCGGAGCUAAUACCUGAUAACAUGGUGAACCGCAUGGUUAAACAGUGAAAGACGGUCUUGCUGUCACUUAUAGAUGGAUCCGCGCGGAUUUAGCUAGUUGGUAAGGUAACGGCUUACCAAGGCAACGAUGGGUAGCCGACCUGAGAGGGUACUCGGCCACACUGGAACUGAGACCCGGCCCAGACUCCUACGGGAGGCAGAAGUGGGAAAUCUUCCGCAAUGGGCGAAGGCCUGACGGAGAAAGGCCGCGUGAGUGAAGAAGGUCUUCGGUUCGUAAAAAUCUGUUAUCAGGGAAGAACAAAUGUGUAAGUAACUAUGCACGUCUUGACGGUACCUAAUCAGAAAGCCACGGCUAACUACGU